GUCCCGAACUCAGGCUGACCGUAAAAGACGUAAACGGUACCGGACGCCUCCCACGGAGCACCAACCACCAAAUCUACGGGAGAUGAUCACCGGCGGCCAGGGUGUAACCGAACUGUCCGUAUUCUGCUGUACCCUGGAGCAUCAGACCUUCCCUAAAGACGCCCUGCGAUGCACGUAAGAAGAUAUGAAGUUUGAAAAACCAUUCAAUUAACGAUACGAAGAUAUGAGGGAGAAGAGCACAAGUGUUGAAUGAUUGUAGCGGAUAUCUGGAAAGAACUGCGCAGGACACUAUUGCGUAAGGUCAAUGAUACGGAGAGACACGUGUUUACACAAAAUGGAGCCGAAGACGAAGAAGAUAUCGACGAUGCCGAAGGUAAUAACACGGAGUUAUCGCGGUAAAGGGUGUCGCCGAUGGCAUCAGGCAGGUUGUAGCAAAUUCCACGCAUAUCGUCCAGCAGCCCCGCAGC
rnacentral:lncRNA from 1 species